GCAUAUCAAUAAGCGGAGGAAAAGAAACCAACAGGGAUUGCCCCAGUAACGGCGAGUGAAGCGGCAAGAGCUCAAAUUUGAAAUCUGGCCUCCCCCGGGGGCCCGAGUUGUAAUUUGCAGAGGAUGUUUCGGGUGCGGCCGCCGUCUAAGUUCCUUGGAACAGGACGUCAGAGAGGGUGAGAAUCCCGUCUUGGGCGGGCGGUCCGCGCCCGUGUGAAGCUCCUUCGACGAGUCGAGUUGUUUGGGAAUGCAGCUCUAAGCGGGUGGUAAAUUUCAUCUAAAGCUAAAUAUUGGCCGGAGACCGAUAGCGCACAAGUAGAGUGAUCGAAAGGUUAAAAGCACCUUGAAAAGGGAGUUAAACAGCACGUGAAAUUGUUGAAAGGGAAGCGCUUGCGGCCAGACUCGGGGGCGGGGUUCAGCGGGUGCUCGUCGCCCGUGUAUUCCUCGUUUCCCGGGCCAGCAUCAGUUUCGACGGCCGGUCAAAGGCCCCCGGAAUGUGUCGUCUCUCGGGACGUCUUAUAGCCGGGGGUGCAAUGCGGCCCGUCGGGACUGAGGAACGCGCUCCGGCUCGGAUGCUGGCGUAAUGGCCGUAAGCGGCCCGUCUUGAAACACGGACCAAGGAGUCUAACAUCCACGCGAGUGUUCGGGUGUCAAACCCGUGCGCGCAGUGAAAGCGAACGGAGGUGGGAGCCCUAGGGCGCACCAUCGACCGAUCCUGAAGUCUUCGGAUGGAUUUGAGUAGGAGCGUGGCCGUUGGGACCCGAAAGAUGGUGAACUAUGCCUGAAUAGGGUGAAGCCAGAGGAAACUCUGGUGGAGGCUCGCAGCGGUUCUGACGUGCAAAUCGAUCGUCAAAUUUGGGCAUAGGGGGCGAAAGACUAAUCGAMCCAUCUAGUAGCUGGUUCCUGCCGAAG
rnacentral:rRNA from 1 species